UAAACAAAAAGCUAGAAAAACAAGGGCUAAGCGAAGAAGAUAAACUGAAAUAGCAGUUGUGGUUAACGCUGGAAGCUGGGCGCACCCAAUCUAUGAUGUAGUAGAUGAAGACACCCGAGGCUCUGCUCAGAAAGCAAAGAAUCAACAUAAAAAUAAGCCAAAAAAACGGAGCCUCAGAUCUGAUAUAAAGAUUAUCCGCUUGUGAAGAAGGCCUAAAGAAAAUAAUGGGCCAAUCAUAUAGAUUGGUUGCCAUGACAAAUUUGACGCUAUGCGACCAACUGCUGGAGACUUCCUUCAGCAAAGAUGUCUGACAAAAAUACUAGGACCGAAGCAAAUGUUAUUGACUCCCGAGAAAACAACUAAACCAGGCUGUCGUCUUGUGAAACAGUGGAUGUAAGGAAUAUAACUUAGCUAGCUAAAGUUUUACUGAAAAUGUAAUGUACAUUUUGUAUGCUUGCCUUGCUGGUAUUUGCCAUGAAAUGCAGCUGAAGUAAUGUAGCUAGCUAACCAUUGUCUUGCUUAUUGUGUAGUGGAGGAUAAAAAUACCUGUAUGCCUAUGGAUGUGUAGCUAGCUAUAAAAAAUAUAGCUAAGAAUAUAUUCACUGAUCAUGUGCUCUACCUUGGCAAAUAAAGGUGUGGUUCAGGUA